rnacentral:rRNA from 1 species
UGCUUGUGUUACUCUUUCGUUAAUUCGGGGAGGCCUGGCCGCACUCCAGGGGCGCUGAUUUUGCUUGUCAAAAUGGCGCACCAAGAGCAUACACGUUGGUACCCGAAAGAUGGUGAACUAUGCUUGGCAAGGGCGAAGCCAGAGGAAACUCUGGUGGAGGUCCGUUUCGAUUCUGACGUGCAAAUCGAUCGUCAGAGCUGAGUAUAGGGGCGAAAGACUAAUCGAACCAUCUAGUAGCUGGUUCCUCCCGAAGUUUCCCUCAGGAUAGCUGGUGCUCGAGAGAAGAGUCUCAUCCGGUAAAGCGAAUGAUUAGAGGCCUUGGGGUCGAAAUGACCUCAACCUAUUCUCAAACUUUAAAUGGGGUGAGAAGCUGGGCUUUCUUGAUUGAAGUCCGGCGUUUCGGAUCUGUAGAGUGCCCAGUGGGCCACUUUUGGUAAGCAGAACUGGCGCUGUGGGAUGAACCAAACGUUGGGUUAAGGCGCCUGACAGGACGCAAAUCUGAUCCCAUGAAGGGUGUCGGUUGCUCCAGACAGCAGGACGGUGGCCAUGGAAGUCGGAAUCC